AACGAACGCUGGCGGCAGGCUUAACACAUGCAAGUCGAACGCCCCGCAAGGGGAGUGGCAGACGGGUGAGUAACGCGUGGGAACGUGCCCUUCGCUUCAGGAUAGCCUCGGGAAACUGGGAGUAAUACUGAAUACGCCGUAUUGGGAAAGAUUUAUCGGCGAAGGAUCGGCCCGCGUUAGAUUAGGUAGUUGGCGGUGUAAUGGACCACCAAGCCUACGAUCUAUAGCUGGUCUGAGAGGAUGAUCAGCCACACUGGGACUGAGACACGGCCCAGACUCCUACGGGAGGCAGCAGUGGGGAAUCUUGGACAAUGGGCGCAAGCCUGAUCCAGCCAUGCCGCGUGAGUGAAGAAGGCCUUAGGGUUGUAAAACUCUUUCGCCGGAGAAGAUAAUGACGGUAUCCGGAGAAGAAGCCCCGGCUAACUUCGUGCCAGCAGCCGCGGUAAUACGAAGGGGGCUAGCGUUGUUCGGAAUUACUGGGCGUAAAGCGCACGUAGGCGGGUUUGUAAGUAGGGGGUGAAAUCCCAGGGCUCAACCCUGGAACUGCCUUCUAAACUGCAAG
rnacentral:rRNA from 1 species